AACGGGACUUAGUGCAGGUUACAAAUCUGGCUGUCGUAAUGCCUAAAAAGCAUUGCAUAGCAAGGGCCGGGCAAGACCGGUGCCAGCCGCCGCGGUAACACCGGCGGCUCGAGUGGUAACCGUUAUUAUUGGGUCUAAAGGGUCUGUAGCCGGCCGGAUAAGUCUCUUGAGAAAUCUGGCAGCUUAACUGUCAGGCUUUCAGGAGAUACUGUCUGGCUCGAGGCCGGGAGAGGUGAGAGGUACUUCAGGGGUAGGGGUGAAAUCUUGUAAUCCUUGAAGGACCACCAGUGGCGAAGGCGUCUCACCAGAACGGACCUGACGGCAAGGGACGAAAGCUAGGGGCACGAACCGGAUUAGAUACCCGGGUAGUCCUAGCCGUAAACGAUACUCGCUAGGUGUCGGCCACGGUGCGACCGUUGUCGGUGCCGUAGGGAAGCCGUGAAGCGAGCCACCUGGGAAGUACGGCCGCAAGGCUGAAACUUAAAGGAAUUGGCGGGGGAGCACCACAACGGGUGGAGCUUGCGGUUUAAUUGGAUUCAACGCCGGAAAUCUUACCGGGACCGACAGCAAUAUGAAGGCCAGGCCGAAGACUUUGCCGGAUUAGCUGAGAGGUGGUGCAUGGCCGUCGUCAGUUCGUACUGUGAAGCAUCCUGUUAAGUCAGGCAACGAGCGAGACCCACGCCCACAGGUUGCCAGCCGUACUCUCCGGAGUGAUGGGGUACACUGUGGGGGACCCCGCUGCUAAAGCGGAGGAAGGAAUGGGCAACGGUAGGUCAGUAUGCCCCGAAUAUCCCGGGCUACACGCGAGCUACAAUGUUUGGUACAAUGGGUAUCUACCCCGAAAGGGGAUGGAAAUCUCCUAAAGCCAUCUUAGUUCGGAUUGAGGGCUGCACUCGCCCUCAUGAAGCUGAAUCCGUAUAUCGCGUUCACAGACCGUA
rnacentral:rRNA from 1 species